GUGCUCACUUCAGCAGCACAGAUACUAAAAUUAGAAUGAUACAGAGAAGAUUAGCAUGGCCCCUGCACAAGGAUGAUACACAUCAUGAAGCAUUCCAUAUUUAA